rnacentral:lncRNA from 1 species
GAAGCUACACUAAUUCCUACCCUAACUACCAUCAUCCGCUGAGGUAACCAACCAGAACACCUCAAUGCAAACUAAUAUUUCUUAUUUUAUACGCUAGUAGGGUCCCUUCCUCUACUUGUUACACUUGUUUAUACUCAAAAUACCUCAGGUUCACUAAAUGUGCUAGUAAUAAUACUUACCACUCAAGAGCUAUUAGCCUCCUGAUCCAAUAAUCUUAUAUGACUAUCAUGUAUUAUAGCUUUUAGAGUAAAAAUACCCCUAUACAGACUUCACUUAUGACUCAGGUUCAUUAAAUGCGCUAGUAAUAAUACUUACCACCCAAGAGCUAUUAGCCUCCUGAUCCAAUAACCUUAUACGAUUAGCAUGCAUUGUGGCUUUUAGAGUAAAAAUACCCCUAUACAGACAUCACCUAUAACUCCCCAAAGCCCACGUAGAAGCCCCUAUCAAUGGAUCAAUAGUACUUGCAGCGGUAUUCCUAAAGUUAGGCGACUAUGGUAUAAUAUGGCUUACCCUUAUCCUCAACUCCCUAACAGAACAUAUC